ACAACCUGCCGCAUGCAGGGGGAUACCGGCUGGAAACAGCCGCUAAUACCGCAUAUGCGCACAGCGCCGCAUGGCGCAGUGCGGAAAGGGAGCGAUUCCGGCAUGCGAUGGGUCCGCGUCCGAUUAGCUUGUUGGCGGGGCAGCGGCCCACCAAGGCGACGAUCGGUAGCCGGCCUGAGAGGGCGGACGGCCACAUUGGGACUGAGACACGGCCCAGACUCCUACGGAAGGCAGCAG
rnacentral:rRNA from 1 species